rnacentral:rRNA from 1 species
UAGGGAAACUUCCGCAAUGGACGCAAGUCUGACGGAGCAACGCCGCGUGAGUGAGGAAGGUCUUCGGAUCGUAAAGCUCUGUUGCCAAGGAAGAACGCUUGGAGGAGUAACUGCCUUCAAGGUGACGGUACUUGAGAAGAAAGCCCCGGCUAACUACGUGCCAGCAGCCGC